UACGUAGGGUGCGAGCGUUGUCCGGAAUUAUUGGGCGUGAAGAGCUCGUAGGCGGUUUGUCGCGUCGGAUGUGAAAGCCCGGGGCUUAACCCUGGGUCUGCAUUCGAUACGGGCAGACUGGAGUGUGGUAGGGGAGAUCGGAAUUCCUGGUGUAGCGGUGAAAUGCGCAGAUAUCAGGAGGAACACCGGUGGCGAAGGCGGCUCACUGGCUCAUUACUGACGCUCAGGCGCGACAGCGUGGGGAUCAAACAGG
rnacentral:rRNA from 1 species